AUCUAAUUAGUUUAAAAAAAAUAUUGAUUUGUGGUGUCAAUGAUGAAUAAUUAUUCAUUAGAUU
rnacentral:tRNA from 1 species